UUGAAGGGCAGUGGAAAAACUCGGGAGGACUCGUCGGUCUCUGAGAUUUGACCUCUGAUUGACACAGACUCCUCCAGCCAGUGUGAGUCAGACAGCGGGGGGCUUCCAGCCAAUCGGAGGCCUGAACAGUGGCUGAGGCUGUUGCGAGCCUGGACUAACAACAGCGGCGUUGUGAGGAGGAGACAGACAACGGGACGGCUGUGGGGAGGUGGAUGACUGAAGGCUCAGAUAAGCUUCUUAUUGUGAGAACCUUAUUUGUCUGUGGAGCCAAUGGAAAAGUCCCAAAUUCCGCAUUUCCAGGGGAUUUAUUCCCCUGAAGAUGUUCGCACAGCUGCCAGAACAUCUGUUGUUACACAUACUUAUAUACCCAAACGGCACGCACACACAAAGUGUGAACUUUUACCGUGUGAGACUGACACCUCAAGGCUUGCCUUUCCCUAACCCACACAGGAACAGAGGCUAAACGUGUUGAAAGCUGGACCCAUCCCUACAUCACAGGUUUUAUAGCUCUACUGACAUGUGUCGAUCGGAGUGCCAAGAAUUGUGCAGGAAAAUACGAGGAUUAAUAUCAUCAAGAUGAGGGCGGCAGAUUUUUCAGGUAAGCCCCUGAUGCAUUUAAGCAUUAGUGAGACAGCGGUUACAUUUCACUGCCACGUUCUAUGAACUGCAAUGGGACCUGUGGGGUUUGAGCCGUGUUUGUGUAGUUGAUAGGAAGACCACAUACAAGAGACAAAGGCUGGCUUCUCUUCAACCAAAGACGGUGCACCGUGAAUUUCCCUCCUCUGAAUACACACGGAGUUGUGAUGGGGAGUAAACAGAACCCGAUCUGUUCAGAGCCAAAUCAAAUGUACUGUCAUUGGGUCUAGGUAUGGGUGCAGUUCUACACGAACACCGACUUGGGCUGCUUAUGUACAGCAAGCUGGGUGGAGUUGUUUAUCCCAAUAGAGGUAGGUACAGGUGUCUUUAAUUGGUGUCUCUCACAGUAAAUCAGCUCACGCAGAUGGGGUGCCAGGAACAACAACUCCACUCUGCAUUACACUGAACAUGGGGAGAGAUUGCCCAAUGCAAUCAUAUUCUCCUUCAGCACUGUGAACCAUCACAUCACAUGUCAUAUUCUCCUUCAGCACUGUGAACCAUCACAUCACAUGUCAUAUUCUCCUUCAGCACUGUGAACCAUCACAUCACAUGUCAUAUUCUCCUUGAGCACUGUGAACCAUCACAUCACAUGUCAUAUUCUCCUUGAGCACUGUGAACCAUCACAUGUCAUAUUCUCCUUCAGCACUGUGAACCAUCACAUCACAUGUCAUAUUCUCCUUCAGCACUGUGAACCAUCACAUCACAUGUCAUAUUCUCCUUCAGCACUGUGAACCAUCACAUCACAUGUCAUAUUCUCCUUGAGCACUGUGAACCAUCACAUCACAUGUCAUAUUCUCCUUCAGCACUGUGAACCAUCACAUCACAUCUCAUAUUCUCCUUCAGCACUGUGAACCAUCACAUCACAUGUCAUAUUCUCCUUCAGCACUGUGAACCAUCACAUCACAUGUCAUAUUCUCCUUCAGCACUGUGAACCAUCACAUCACAUGUCAUAUUCUCCUUCAGCACUGUGAACCAUCACAUCACAUGUCAUAUUCUCCUUCAGCACUGUGAACCAUCACAUCACAUGUCAUAUUCUCCUUCAGCACUGUGAACCAUCACAUCACAUGUCAUAUUCUCCUUCAGCACUGUGAACCAUCACAUCACAUGUCAUAUUCUCCUUCAGCACUGUGAACCAUCACAUCACAUGUCAUAUUCUCCUUGAGCACUGUGAACCAUCACAUCACAUGUCAUAUUCUCCUUCAGCACUGUGAACCAUCACAUCACAUGUCAUAUUCUCCUUCAGCACUGUGAACCAUCACAUCACAUGUCAUAUUCUCCUUCAGCACUGUGAACCAUCACAUCACAUGUCAUAUUCUCCUUCAGCACUGUGAACCAUCACAUCACAUGUCAUAUUCUCCUUGAGCACUGUGAACCAUCACAUCACAUGUCAUAUUCUCCUUCAGCACUGUGAACCAUCACAUCACAUCUCAUAUUCUCCUUAAGCACUGUGAACCAUCACAUCACAUGUCAUAUUCUCCUUCAGCACUGUGAACCAUCACAUCACAUGUCAUAUUCUCCUUCAGCACUGUGAACCAUCACAUCACAUGUCAUAUUCUGCUUCAACAAUGUGAACCAUCACAUCCUCCUCUCCACCCUCUUGGGCAGGACAUCUCUGGCUUGGCACAUUCUUGGACUCCAUUCUAUAUGGCAGGAAACUCCUACCAAGUGACAUGGAGAAGAUCU